GAUGAACACUAGCGGCAGGCCUAAUACAUGCAAGUCGAACGGUAAAUAUUGUAGCAAUACAAUAUGAGAGUGACGUACGGGCGCGAAACAGGUACGCAACCUACCCUUUACAGGCGGAGAGCUCGCGGAAACUCGAAUCAACCCACCGUGGUAACACAGAAUGGCUUCAUUUGAUGAUAACAACUCAUGUGGUAAAGGAUGGGCAUGCGUGUGAUGAGUUAGUUGGCGGUGUAAAGGACCACCAAGGCGAUGAUGAGUAGGGGAACUGAGAGGUUGAUCCAGCACACUGACACUGAGAUACGAGCCAGACACCUACAGGAGGCAGCAGUAGGGAAUAUUGGUAAAUGGAUGCAAGUCUGAACCAGCCAUGCCGCGUGCAGGAAGAAGGCCUUAUGGGUUGUAAACUGCUUUUGCCAGGGGAUAAAACGAGCUUGCGAGCUUAAUUGAAGGUACCUGGUGAAUAAGCCACGGCUAACUACGUGCCAGCCGCCGCGGUAA
rnacentral:rRNA from 1 species